CCUACGGGAGGCAGCAGUGGGGAAUAUUGCACAAUGGGGGGAACCCUGAUGCAGCAAUGCCGCGUGGGUGAAGAAGCACUCCGGUGCGUAAAGCCCUGUCAGCAGGGAAGAAAAUGACAGUACCUGAACAAGAAGCCCCUGCUAACUACGUGCCAGCAGCCGCGGUCAUACGUUGGGGGCAAGCGGUCUCCGGAUUUACGGGGUGUAAAGUGAGCGCAGGCGGCGUGGCAAGUCAGAUGGGAAAACCCGGGGGCCAACCCCGGGAGCGCAUUUGAAACUGGCAUGCUGGAGUGACGGAGAGGUAAGCGGAAUGCCGAGUGGAGCGGUGAAAUGCGUAGAUAUUAGGAGGAACACCAGUGGCGGAGGCGGCUUACUGGACGGUAACUGACGCUGAGGCUCGAAAGCGUGGGGAGCAAACAGGAUUAGAUACCCCAGUAGUC
rnacentral:rRNA from 1 species